AUUGAACGCUGGCGGCAGGCCUAACACAUGCAAGUCGAACGAGUGGCGGACGGGUGAGUAAUGUCUGGGAAACUGCCCGAUGGAGGGGGAUAACUACUGGAAACGGUAGCUAAUACCGCAUACCAUCGGAUGUGCCCAGAUGGGAUUAGCUAGGAGGUGGGGUAACGGCUCACCUAGGCGACGAUCCCUAGCUGGUCUGAGAGGAUGACCAGCCAAACUGAUAAUGAGACCCGGUCCAGACUCCUACGGGCGGCAGCAGUGGGGAAUAUUGCACAAUGGGCGCAAGCCUGCUGCAGCCAUGCCGCGUGUAUGAAGAAGGCCUUCGGGUUUUAAAGUACUUUCCGCGAGGAGGCGUUACUCGCAGAAGAAGCACCGGCUAACUCCGUGCCAGCAGCCGCGGUAAUUC
rnacentral:rRNA from 1 species